GACCUUGAAAUACCACCCUUUAAUGUUUGAUGUUCUAACGUGGACCCGUGAUCCGGGUUGCGGACAGUGUCUGGUGGGUAGUUUGACUGGGGCGGUCUCCUCCUAAAGAGUAACGGAGGAGCACGAAGGUUGGCUAAUCCUGGUCGGACAUCAGGAGGUUAGUGCAAUGGCAUAAGCCAGCUUGACUGCGAGCGUGACGGCGCGAGCAGGUGCGAAAGCAGGUCAUAGUGAUCCGGUGGUUCUGAAUGGAAGGGCCAUCGCUCAACGGAUAAAAGGUACUCCGGGGAUAACAGGCUGAUACCGCCCAAGAGUUCAUAUCGACGGCGGUGUUUGGCACCUCGAUGUCGGCUCAUCACAUCCUGGGGCUGAAGUAGGUCCCAAGGGUAUGGCUGUUCGCCAUUUAAAGUGGUACGCGAGCUGGGUUUAGAACGUCGUGAGACAGUUCGGUCCCUAUCUGCCGUGGGCGCUGGAGAACUGAGGGGGGCUGCUCCUAGUACGAGAGGACCGGAGUGGACGCAUCACUGGUGUUCGGGUUGUCAUGCCAAUGGCACUGCCCGGUAGCUAAAUGCGGAAGAGAUAAGUGCUGAAAGCAUCUAAGCACGAAACUUGCCCCGAGAUGAGUUCUCCCUGACUCCUUGAGAGUCCUGAAGGAACGUUGAAGACGACGACGUUGAUAGGCCGGGUGUGUAAGCGCAGCGAUGCGUUGAGCUAACCGGUACUAAUGAACCGUGAGGCUUAACCUUACAAC
rnacentral:rRNA from 1 species